rnacentral:rRNA from 1 species
CAGUAGCCGCGGUAAUACGGAGGAUCCAAGCGUUAUCCGGAAUCAUUGGGUUUAAAGGGUCCGUAGGCGGUUUAGUAAGUCAGUGGUGAAAGCCCAUCGCUCAACGGUGGAACGGCCAUUGAUACUGCUGAACUUGAAUUAUUAGGAAGUAACUAGAAUAUGUAGUGUAGCGGUGAAAUGCUUAGAGAUUACAUGGAAUACCAAUUGCGAAGGCAGGUUACUACUAAUUGAUUGACGCUGAUGGACGAAAGCGUGGGGAGCGAACAGGAUUAGAUACCCCUGUAGUCCCUGUCUCUUAUAC